rnacentral:rRNA from 1 species
GACGUAGGGCGCGAGCGUUGUCCGGAUUUAUUGGGCGUAAAGAGCUCGUAGGCGGUUUGUCGCGUCUGCCGUGAAGGUCCGGGGCUCAACUCCGGAUCUGCGGUGGGUACGGGCAGACUAGAGUGAUGUAGGGGAGACUGGAAUUCCUGGUGUAGCGGUGAAAUGCGCAGAUAAUCAGGAGGAACACCGAUGGCGAAGGCAGGUCUCUGGGCAUUAACUGACGCUGAGGAGCGAAAGCAUGGGGAGCGAACAGG